rnacentral:rRNA from 1 species
UACGUAGGGGGCAAGCGUUAUCCGGAUUUACUGGGUGUAAAGGGGGCGCAGGCGGCGCGCCAAGUCUGAUGUGAAACCCCGGGGCUCAACCCCGGACAUGCAUUGGAAACUGGCGGGCUGGAGUGCCGGAGAGGUAAGCGGAAUUCCUAGUGUAGCGGUGAAAUGCGUAAAUAUUAGGAGGAACACCAGUGGCGAAGGCGGCUUACUGGACGGCAACUGACGCUGAGGCUCGAAAGCGUGGGGAGCAAACAGG